AGAGUUUGAUCAUGGCUCAGAUUGAACGCUGGCGGCAUGCCUUACACAUACAAGUCGAACGGCAGCACGGGGCAACCUGGUGGCGAGUGGCGAACGGGUGAGUAAUACAUCGGAACGUGCCCAAUCGUGGGGGAUAACGUAGCGAAAGUUACGCUAAUACCGCAUACGAUCUACGGAUGAAAGCGGGGGAUCGCAAGACCUCGCGCCAUUGGAGCGGCCGAUGUCAGAUUAGGUUGUUGGUGGGGUAAAGGCCUACCAAGCCGACGAUCUGUAGCUGGUCUGAGAGGACGACCAGCCACACUGGGACUGAGACACGGCCCAGACUCCUACGGGAGGCAGCAGUGGGGAAUUUUGGACAAUGGGCGCAAGCCUGAUCCAGCCAUGCCGCGUGCGGGAAGAAGGCCUUCGGGUUGUAAACCGCUUUUGUCAGGGAAGAAACGCUCCGGGCUAAUACCUCGGGGUAAUGACGGUACCUGAAGAAUAAGCACCGGCUAACUACGUG
rnacentral:rRNA from 1 species